rnacentral:lncRNA from 1 species
CAAAGUUAAUCAGAUAUUCGGGUGGCACGUUGAACUCAACGUCUUGUGCUCUGAAAAAAGGCUGUGCUACGAAGGGGCCAGCGAAGGUUGUAUGCAAGCUCUCCUGCGAGUUCAGGUUCAGGCCUAAACCCGUGAGAUCCGUACCCAAGGAGAGCGUCACCAGAUUGGGAUCCGUUUCUGCAGCCCGAAUGAACGUCAGCAGGCCAACCAUGCCGAACUGGUUGUUCACCAUGGUCGCUGGUAUGUUUGUGACCUUCCCUAUUUAUGCAAAACGAACGAAAGGAUAGUAUAGCUGUUGGGCUUUUGUGAUGUACACCGAAAUCACCGAAUUAUAAUAUGAAACAAAUAAUAAUAGAAACCAAGAAAUCCAUUGAUUAAAUGGUAUCAAUCAUCCAUAGAGUGUUCAAUUCAAAGCUCCAAAUGAUCAAAAGGUCAAAAAUAGCUCUCUCACAUGUUGUGAGAAGUGUUCCAGCACUCACCAUCUGGCGAAGUUUGCACGCCGCUCUUUACAAGUUUAUCGUUGCUGGAAUUAUCGUUCAGAUGCUCGCCGCCCGCUCCGCUCCCAGACGAGCCGCUUCCACUCCCCAGGCCGCCGCCUACGCCCAUCAUGGCAUUGCUGUUGGGUACGCUGUUGACGCCGCCAAUGCCGCUGUUACUGCCCACCAGUCCUACAUGGGACCCGCCGACAACGCCGCUGGCUGCAUUGCCGCCGACUCCUCCGCCUCCUGAGCUACCAGCUCCUCCGCCGCCGCCUACUGCCAAGCCCCCUAUACCACUGCCAACGGCACCGAGACCAUUGCCGCCUACAACGCCGACGUUGGAACCGCUGCUGCCGCUCGCUGAUCCGCUGACCACUAUCGAAUUCAUCGGCUUUUCCGUGCCGUCCAAGUGGUUCUCUGUGGACGCACCUCCGGAGCCUCCUGUUCCGGCGACGCUCCCCACCGCGUUCGUUGUGCCGUCCGAGUUUUGGGUGCCCGGUAACGCAGGGAAGUCCUCGUUAGACAUCGUGAACUCCGAUUGCUCUGACGUCGGUUGCUUCACCAUGCCAACUGAAAUCAGAAGAGGAGCGAGAUGGUCGCCCAGGGCGAAUGAGUGAAGCGAAGAAAUUAGUACUAAAGCAGUUUAAGCUCAUACAAUACACACGAUUUUAGUUAAUUUCUUUUUCCUCAACCAAUUAAAAUCAAUGAGUAGGUCCAAACAGCAUUUGUUCAAGGUUUUAAGACAUGUUACUGUGAAUUUAAAGUUAUCCUUCACCUAUAUAUGAACUUAUAAAAGGUUAAGUCGCUUGCUUUAUGUGAACAGUUUCUUUUUAUUCAUUGAUCAUGUUUCAAAGUAAAUGAGAUUGCAUAU